AACGAACGCUGGCGGCAGGCUUAACACAUGCAAGUCGAACGCCCCGCAGGGGGAGUGGCAGACGGGUGAGUAACGCGUGGGAAUCUACCCAGAACUUCGGAACAACUGAGGGAAACUUCAGCUAAUACCGGAUACGCCCUACGGGGGAAAGAUUUAUCGGUUUUGGAUGAGCCCGCGUUGGAUUAGCUAGUUGGUGGGGUAAUGGCCUACCAAGGCGACGAUCCAUAGCUGUUCUGAGAGGAUGAUCAGCCACACUGGGACUGAGACACGGCCCAGACUCCUGCGGGAGGCAGCAGGGGGGAAUCUUGCGCAAUGGGCGAAAGCCUGACGCAGCCAUGCCGCGUGAAUGAUGAAGGUCUUAGGAUUGUAAAAUUCUUUUACCGGGGACGAUAAUGACGGUACCUGGAGAAAAAGCCCCGGCUAACUUCGUGCCAGCAGCCGCAGUAAAAC
rnacentral:rRNA from 1 species